UUCUUGUGCUAUAUGCCUUAGACACCAGUC
rnacentral:piRNA from 1 species